CAGUCGCCGCGGUAAUACAGAGGGUGCGAGCGUUAAUCGGAUUUACUGGGCGUAAAGCGUGCGUAGGCGGCUUUUUAAGUCGGAUGUGAAAUCCCCGAGCUUAACUUGGGAAUUGCAUUCGAUACUGGGAAGCUAGAGUAUGGAGAGGAUGGUAGAAUUCCAGGUGUAGCGGUGAAAUGCGUAGAGAUCUGGAGGAAUACCGAUGGCGAAGGCAGCCAUCUGGCCUAAUACUGACGCUGAGGUACGAAAGCAUGGGGAGCAAACAGGAUUAGAUACCCCCGUAGUCCCUGUCUCUUAUACC
rnacentral:rRNA from 1 species